rnacentral:rRNA from 1 species
AUUGAACGCUGGCGGCAUGCUUUACACAUGCAAGUCGAACGGCAGCACGGGUGCUUGCACCUGGUGGCGAGUGGCGAACGGGUGAGUAAUGCAUCGGAACGUGCCUAUUAGUGGGGGAUAACGCUUCGAAAGGAGUGCUAAUACCGCAUAAUCUCUGAGGAGGAAAGCAGGGGACCUUCGGGCCUUGCGCUGAUAGAGCGGCCGAUGUCGGAUUAGCUAGUUGGUGAGGUAAAGGCUCACCAAGGCGACGAUCCGUAGCGGGUCUGAGAGGAUGAUCCGCCACACUGGGACUGAGACACGGCCCAGACUCCUACGGGAGGCAGCAGUAGGGAAUAUUGGACAAUGGGCGCAAGCCUGAUCCAGCCAUGCCGCGUGAGUGAAGAAGGCCCUCGGGUUGUAAAGCUCUUUUGUCCGGAAAGAAAAGCGCCGGGUUAAUACCCUGGUGUCCUGACGGUACCGGAAGAAUAAGCACCGGCUAACUUCGUG